AGCAGCCGCGGUAAUUCCAGCUCCAAUAGCGUAUAUUAAAGUUGUUGCAGUUAAAAAGCUCGUAGUUGAAUUUCGGGGUUAGUAGGUUGGUCAUGCCUCUGGUAUGUACUGGUCUCACUGAUUCCUCCUUCCUGAUGAGCCGUAAUGCCAUUAAUUUGGUGUUGCGGGGAAUUUGGACUGUUACUUUGAAAAAAUUAGAGUGUUUAAAGCAAGCUAACGCUUGAAUACAUUAGCAUGGAAUAAUGAAAUAGGACGUUCGAUCCUAUUUUGUUGGUUUCUAGGAUUGACGUAAUGAUUAAUAGGGAUAGUUGGGGGCAUUAGUAUUCAAUUGUCAGAGGUGAAAUUCUUGGAUUUAUUGAAGACUAACUACUGCGAAAGCAUUUGCCAAGGAUGUUUUCAUUAAUCAAGAACGAAAGUUAGGGGAUCGAAGACGAUCAGAUACCGUCGUAGUCUUAACCAUAAACUAUGCCGACUAGGGAUCGGAUGAUGUUAAUUUUUAAUGACUCAUUCGGCGCCUUAA
rnacentral:sRNA from 1 species